AGUGAACGCUGGCGGUAGGCCUAACACAUGCAAGUCGAACGGCAGCACAGUAAUAGCUUGCUCUUACGGGUGGCGAGUGGCGGACGGGUGAGGAAUACAUCGGAAUCUACUUUUUCGUGGGGGAUAACGUAGGGAAACUUACGCUAAUACCGCAUACGACCUACGGGUGAAAGCAUGGGAUCUUCGGACCUUGCGCGAUUGAAUGAGCCGAUGUCGGAUUAGCUAGUUGGCGGGGUAAAGGCCCACCAAGGCGACGAUCCGUAGCUGGUCUGAGAGGAUGAUCAGCCACACUGGAACUGAGACACGGUCCAGACUCCUACGGGAGGCAGCAGUGGGGAAUAUUGGACAAUGGGCGAAAGCCUGAUCCAGCCAUACCGCGUGGGUGAAGAAGGCCUUCGGGUUGUAAAGCCCUUUUGUUGGGAAAGAAAAGCAGUAGGUUAAUACCCCGCUGUUCUGACGGUACCCAAAGAAUAAGCACCGGCUAACUUCGUG
rnacentral:rRNA from 1 species